AACGCACAUUGCGCCCAUUGGUAUUCCGAUGGGCAUGCCUGUUCGAGCGUCAUUAUCCUCCCUCAAACCUCGGGUUUGGUGUUGGACCGCGUUGGCCGAGCGACCAACUGGUCUCAAAGACAAUGACGGCGUCCGUGGGACCCUCGGUGCAACGAGCUUCUAAGGAGCACGCGUCGAGUUUCAAGGACCCUCCGGGCCGGUCUUGACCUCUAUCUCAGGUUGACCUCGGAUCAGGUAGGAAUACCCGCUGAACUUAA
rnacentral:misc_RNA from 1 species